UACGAAGGGGGCUAGCGUUGCUCGGAAUUACUGGGCGUAAAGGGUGCGUAGGCGGGUUUUAAGUCAGGGGUGAAAUCCUGGAGCUCAACUCCAGAACUGCCUUUGAUACUGAGGAUCUUGAGUUCGGGGAGAGGUGAGUGGAACUGCGAGUGUAGAGGUGAAAUUCGUAGAUAUUCGCAAGAACACCAGUGGCGAAGGCGGCUCACUGGCCCGAUACUGACGCUGAGGCACGAAAGCGUGGGGAGCAAACAGG
rnacentral:rRNA from 1 species